AUUGAACGCUGGCGGCAGGCUUAACACAUGCAAGUCGAGCGGAGCGAGGGUGCUUGCACCUUAGCUUAGCGGCGGACGGGUGAGUAAUGCUUAGGAAUCUGCCUAUUAGUGGGGGACAACAUUCCGAAAGGGAUGCUAAUACCGCAUACGCCCUACGGGGGAAAGCAGGGGGUCUUCGGACCUUGCGCUAAUAGAUGAGCCUAAGUCGGAUUAGCUAGUUGGUGGGGAAAGGCCUACCAAGGCGACGAUCUGUAGCGGGUCUGAGAGGAUGAUCCGCCACACUGGGACUGAGACACGGCCCAGACUCCUACGGGAGGCAGCAGUGGGGAAUAUUGGACAAUGGGCGGAAGCCUGAUCCAGCCAUGCCGCGUGUGUGAAGAAGGCCUUUUGGUUGUAAAGCACUUUAAGCGAGGAGGAGGCUACUAGUAUUAAUACUACUGGAUAGUGGACGUUACUCGCAGAAUAAGCACCGGCUAACUCUGUGCCAGCCGCCGCAGUAACAC
rnacentral:rRNA from 1 species